GAUGAACGCUGGCGGCGUGCCUAAUACAUGCAAGUCGAGCGAACAGACGAGGAGCUUGCUCCUCUGACGUUAGCGGCGGACGGGUGAGUAACACGUGGAUAACCUACCUAUAAGACUGGGAUAACUUCGGGAAACCGGAGCUAAUACCGGAUAACAUGUUGAACCGCAUGGUUCAACAGUGAAAGACGGUUUUGCUGUCACUUAUAGAUGGAUCAGCGUCGCAUUAGCUAGUUGGUAAGGUAACGGCUUACCAAGGCAACGAUGCGUAGCCGACCUGAGAGGGUGAUCGGCCACACUGGAACUGAGACACGGUCCAGACUCCUACGGGAGGCAGCAGUAGGGAAUCUUCCGCGAUGGACGAAAGCCUGACGGAGCAACGCCGCGUGAGUGAAGAAGGUCUUCGGAUCGUAAAACUCUGUUAUUAGGGAAGAACAAAUGUGUAAGUACCUAUGCACGUCUUGACGGUACCUAAUCAGAAAGCCACGGCUAACUACGUG
rnacentral:rRNA from 1 species